rnacentral:rRNA from 1 species
GGAAUAUUGCACAAUGGACGGAAGUCUGAUGCAGCGACGCCGCGUGGACGAAGAAGGCCUUCGGGUUGUAAAGUCCUUUUCAGGGGGAAGAGAGAGGACGGUACCCUUGGAAUAAGCGCCGGCUAACUACGUGCCAGCAGCCGCGGUAAGACGUAUGACGCGAGCGUUAUCCGGAUUUACUGGGCGUAAAGCGUCUGUAGGCGGGACAGUAAGUUGGGCGUGAAAGCUUCGGGCUUAACCCGGAGAGGACGUACAAGACUGCUGAACUAGAGGCCACCAGAGGGGCGUGGAAUUUCCGGUGUAGCGGUAAAAUGCGCAGAUAUCGGAAGGAACACCAGUGGCGAAGGCGGCGCCCUGGGGUGGGCCUGACGCUAAGAGACGAAAGCUAGGGGAGCGAACAG